rnacentral:rRNA from 1 species
AAUCAACGCUGGCGGCGUGCCUCAGACAUGCAAGUCGAACGAUUAAAGCUCUCUUCGGAGAGUGCAUAGAGUGGCGCACGGGUGAGUAACACGUAAGUAAUCUACCUUCGAGUGGGGAAUAACGUCCGGAACGGACGCUAAUACCGCAUAAUGCAGCGGCAUCGCAAGAUGACAGUUGUUAAAGGAGCAAUUCGCUUGAAGAGGGGCUUGCGGCAGAUUAGCUAGUUGGUAAGGUAAUGGCCUACCAAGGCGACGAUCAUUAGCUGGUCUGAGA